UUUUGUGAGAAAGACCCGAAAGAAAAAUUCCACAUAGUGUCUACCGUCCGAUCACUGAAGUUAAGCAACGUUGGGCUCGGUUAGUACUUGGAUGGGUGACCGCCUGGGAACACCGAGUGCUGUAGACU
rfam:Lottia gigantea unplaced genomic scaffold LOTGIsca_27, whole genome shotgun sequence.